rnacentral:lncRNA from 1 species
UUACCGUAUAUGGAUAAGAUUAAGAAAAUGUUUUGAUGAAUUGUAAUGAAGGGUCAAGGAGGACUUGUGGAUACAACACUGGAACCACAAAUUAAGCAACGAGUCCUUGUGUUGGUCAGGAAAACGCACAUAAGAAUAGUUAUCAAGAUAACAAAAUACAGGUGUACAAUAGCAUGAAUUAAAAUAUAGAAACACUAACUUUU